UACGUAGGGCGCAAGCGUUGUCCGGAAUUAUUGGGCGUAAAGAGCUCGUAGGCGGUUUGUCGCGUCUGCUGUGAAAACCUAAGGCUCAACCUUGGGCUUGCAGUGGAUACGGGCAGACUAGAGUGCGGUAGGGGGAGACUGGAAUUCCUGGUGUAGCGGUGGAAUGCGCAGAUAUCAGGAGGAACACCGAUGGCGAAGGCAGGUCUCUGGGCCGCAACUGACGCU
rnacentral:rRNA from 1 species